AUGGUGAGGGCGGCCUUGUCGUUGAAGAGUUGCCUUGAAGGAUUCAGGUCCCUCUCAAUCCGCUUUGUCUCCAGCUCCUCAUUGAAGAGACCUGAGAGCAAAGGAAUUUCAAUCAGGCCAAAGACUUACCAGCAAGCUUCUCAUUCAUCUCUAAGUAUAAGAAGUCGAUGUACUGCUCGAGUGCAUUCUUCUUCUCAAGAAGCUGAGAAACCUUUCCCCCAAGGUUUUCUUCUCCUGCUCGAAGGCUCUUGCCUGGUCCUUGCAAUCUUUCUCCCACUCAGAAGCUCCACCUUUAGCUGCUCCAAUAGCGGCCUUGAGGGUCUUGAUCUCCUCCUCCAGCUUGCCGACUGGUGCCAGCUUCUCCUCGGUGGUCUUGGUUUUAGUCCUAGCCUACUUAUGUGCAAAUGCUAG
rnacentral:rRNA from 1 species